GCUAGCAUGGGAAAAGUUCUUCAC
rnacentral:piRNA from 1 species